rnacentral:rRNA from 1 species
UACGGAGGGUGCAAACGUUGCUCGGAAUCAUUGGGCGUAAAGCGCACGUAGGCGGCCGUGUAAGUCGGAUGUGAAAGCCCUGGGCUCAACCCAGGAAGUGCAUUCGAAACUGCACGGCUUGAAUAUGGAAGAGGGUCGCGGAAUUCCCGGUGUAGAGGUGAAAUGCGCAGAUAUCAGGAGGAACACCGGUGGCGAAGGCGGAUCUCUGGGCCAUUACUGACGCUGAGGAGCGAAAGCGUGGGGAGCGAACAGG